rnacentral:rRNA from 1 species
UUUGCCAUCGCGCUAUCUGCAGUCGAGCGACAGAAAGGAGCUUGCUCCUUUGACGUUAGCGGCGGACGGGUGAGUAACAGGUGGGCAACCUACCCUAUAGUUUGGGAUAACUCCGGGAAACCGGGGCUAAUACCGGAAUAAUCUCUUUUGCUCCAUGGCCAAGAGACUGAAAAGACGGCUUUCGGCUGUCGCUAUAGGAUGGGCCCGCGGCGCAUUAGCUAGUUGGUGAGGUAACGGCUCACCAAGGCGACGAUGCGUAGCCGACCUGAGAGGGUGAUCGGCCACACUGGGACUGAGACACGGCCCAGACUCCUACGGGAGGCAGCAGUAGGGAAUCUUCCACAAUGGGCGAAAGCCUGAUGGAGCAACGCCGCGUGAGUGAAG